rnacentral:rRNA from 1 species
GAUGAACGCUGGCGGCGUGCCUAAUACAUGCAAGUCGAGCGAACGGACGAGAAGCUUGCUUCUCUGAUGUUAGCGGCGGACGGGUGAGUAACACGUGGAUAACCUACCUAUAAGACUGGGAUAACUUCGGGAAACCGGAGCUAAUACCGGAUAAUAUUUUGAACCGCAUGGUUCAAAAGUAAAAGACGGUCUUGCUGUCACUUAUAGAUGGAUCCGCGCUGCAUUAGCUAGUUGGUAAGGUAACGGCUUACCAAGGCAACGAUGCAUAGCCGACCUGAGAGGGUGAUCGGCCACAUUGGAACUGAGACACGGUCCAGACUCCUACGGGAGGCAGCAGUAGGGAAUCUUCCGCAAUGGGCGAAAGCCUGACGGAGCAACGCCGCGUGAGUGAUGAAGGUCUUCGGAUCGUAAGACUCUGUUAUUAGGGAAGAACAGAUGUGUAAGUAACUGUGCACAUCUUGACGGUACCUAAUCAGAAAGCCACGGCUAACUACGUG